GACGAACGCUGGCGGCGUGCUUAACACAUGCAAGUCGAACGGAAAGGCCCUGCUUUUGUGGGGUGCUCGAGUGGCGAACGGGUGAGUAACACGUGAGUAACCUGCCCUUGACUUUGGGAUAACUUCAGGAAACUGGGGCUAAUACCGGAUAGGAGCUCCUGCUGCAUGGUGGGGGUUGGAAAGUUUCGGCGGUUGGGGAUGGACUCGCGGCUUAUCAGCUUGUUGGUGGGGUAGUGGCUUACCAAGGCUUUGACGGGUAGCCGGCCUGAGAGGGUGACCGGCCACAUUGGGACUGAGAUACGGCCCAGACUCCUACGGGAGGCAGCAGUGGGGAAUAUUGCGCAGUGGGCGGAAGCCUGAUGCAGCGACGCCGCGUGCGGGAUGACGGCCUUCGGGUUGUAAACCGCUUUCGCCUGUGACGAAGCGUGAGUGACGGUAAUGGGUAAAGAAGCACCGGCUAACUACGUG
rnacentral:rRNA from 1 species